rfam:Felis catus isolate Cinnamon breed Abyssinian chromosome A3, whole genome shotgun sequence.
GCCUGAGUGGCUCAGUCGGUUAAGCGUCCGACUUCGGCUCAGGUCGUGAUCUCUCAGUCCGUGGGUUCAAGCCCUGCAUCAGGCU